UCCUCCUCCUCCUCCUCCUCCUCCUCCUCUCUCUCCCGCUGCCGCUGUUCGCCUUGGCCCCGCUGGAGCGUUUCGGUGCCUUGCCGUACCCGUGUAGCGCCUCCGCUCUCUCCGAGAUGCGCUAGCGCCGUGAGGAAAGAAGGCCCCAGGCCUUGAGAGGAGAGGCGGCUGCUAGCGUUCCCGCGCUGUGUGUCGGGGGGGGGGGGCGGGUAGCGAGCCUGCGCCUCCACCCGCCUUGGAGCCCUCUGGAGAGAUGGCAGGGCAUUACACUUUUAUCUUCUACUAAACCAUCCUCAGCUUAAUAAAAAGUUGUAAUAUUGCUGUCCACUAUACCUAGAUUUGAAGAGCUGACAGGCUCCUGCAGGUCAGAGCAAACCAUUUUCUCUUCAGCUGGACUUCAGCAUAACCAAGAGACAGAAACAAAUUUUAACUUGUCAUCUUUGCUCAUCCUGCUUAGAAUCUGUAAGGCAUGCUUUUGUGUAUUGAAUUUUAUUAUAUUUUAACUCUCGUGCCUAUUGUUUCCACUGAGCAUUUGCCUCUUUCUGAUCUACUGAUAGAUGCAUUUUUCUAAUGAAAAAGCAUUUUAACUUUUCCAAAUAGCUGCAACCUCCCUUUGCAAAUAAUCUCAGCAGUUCUUUUUUCACGUUUUGAUGUACAGAUCUGUUUGAGUGCUUGUGCUUUAUAGUAACCUAUUGUUAUUCUGCCAGCAACAGCUGCUGCAGAAAGAAAGAGAAAAAGGAGUAUCCUAAUGCUUACCCAUUCAUACUAUGUGCUUCCACUUGUACAAGUUGGUAUUGUAAAGAUAAGUACAGAACCAAAAAAUGUGAGUCUGAAUCCAGGCUACAAAAAAUGGGAGAGAGAUUUAAAGAUGGUGCUGGGUGUUUUGCUUGCAUAAAAGAAAGCUUAGCCAAUUUAUAGCCAUUAAAAAGAAUGGUUUUGCUUAGUAGAGUGCAGUAAGCCGUGUUUUGUGUUUCAGCAUAUGAAGUUCAUGCAGUUUGGUUAGUAAACAAAUAUGGUGGCUUAUUCUUGUGAACGGUACUUUUGGUUAAAACAAGUUAAAUCACAAGUGGGGCAACUCUUUAAACAUUUAUGAAGCACUUGUGCAACAUGGGCAUUGGGAUAUUUACCGUAUUAAAAUGUUCAUUUAGUGGAGAAAGGGUUAUAAAAUCAGGUGAAUAAUGGUCUGAAACAAGGUAUCACAUAAAAAAUAAUUGAGAAUCAUCACAGAAAAGAAGAUUUAUUGACUAGCAAGGUUUA